UUUGUGUGUGUACUUAGUUGAGGCGUUUGAAUUUGUUUACUUUGAUUUUGGAGAAUUUGUAGGAAAAUUCUAGUUUUCAUAAACUUAGACGAACUUUGUCAAAUUAAUGUUUUAUGGUCGGACAACAAGUAGGAGACUUUGAAUUCAUGUUAGUAUGAUUUAAUGUGAAUGAAUUGUUAAGGGUUGGAUAUUUAAAUUGAUGAAUGUCAAUAUGUGGCAAAAUGUCCGUCUUUAUGUGAAAUGUGAAUUUAGAACCUUAUCGUUUCUUUGAGGUGUCGACUAUUGUUGAUGAUUAUGAUGUUGAUUCUUUGUUGA
rnacentral:lncRNA from 1 species